rnacentral:rRNA from 1 species
UCCAAUCGAACCCGGAGAUAGCUGGUUCUCCCCGAAAUAGCUUUAGGGCUAGCGUUAUGGAGAAGAGUUAUACGAAGGUAGAGCACUGAAUGGGUGAGGGCCUCAUCUCGAGGUACUGAUCUCAAUCAAACUCCGAAUGUCGUAUAAUAUACAUAGCAGUAAGACUAUGGGUGAUAAGGUUCAUAGUCAAAAGGGAAACAGCCCAGACCGCCAGUUAAGGUCCCAAAAUUAUGCUAAGUGGGAAAGGAGGUGGAGUCGCAUAGACAACUAGGAGGUUGGCUUAGAAGCAGCCAUCCUUUAAAGAGUGCGUAAUAGCUCACUAGUCGAGUGAUUCUGCGCCGAAAAUGUAUCGGGGCUAAGCAUAAUACCGAAGCUGCGGGAUUAGACAAAGAGUCUAAUCGGUAGGGGAGCGUACUAAACGCGAAGAAGGUUGACCGGAAGGGCAGCUGGAGAGUUUAGCAGUGAGAAUGCCGGUGUGAGUAGCGAUAAGAUGGGUGAGAAUCCCAUCCGUCGGAAGCCUAAGGGUUCCAGGGGUAAGGCUCGUCCGCCCUGGGUAAGUCGGGACCUAAGGUGAGGCCGAAAGGCGUAGCCGAUGGAUAUCAGGUUGAUAAUCCUGGACCACCGUAGAGCUGAAGGAGUGACGGAGGAGGGAAGUUAGGAUGGACUGGUGGAAUAGUCUAAUGAAGCACAAAGAGGGAUACGUAGGAAAAGCCGCGUAUUGAAACCUUGAAGUGUAAACCGCAAGGCCUAAUGGACCACACUUCCAAGAAAAGCUUCUAGGAGUACUUUAUGGUGCCCGUACCGUAAACGGACACACGUAGGCGAGGAGAGAAUCCAAAGACGCGCGAGAUAAUUCUUGUUAAGGAACUCUGCAAAAUGACCCUGUAACUUCGGGAUAAAGGGGACUCUAGAGAUAGAGGCGCAGAAAAUAGGCCCAAGCGACUGUUUAACAAAAACAUAGGUUUCUGCUAAAGCGAAAGCUGAUGUAUAGGAGCUGACGCCUGCCCAGUGCUGGAAGGUUAAGAGGAGAUGUAAGUCGCAAGGCAAAGCAUUGAAUUGAAGCCCCAGUAAACGGCGGCCGUAACUAUAACGGUCCUAAGGUAGCGAAAUUCCUUGUCAGGUAAGUUCUGACCCGCACGAAAGGCGUAACGAUUUGGGCGCUGUCUCAACAAGAAACUCGGUGAAAUCAUAGUACCUGUGAAGAUGCAGGUUACCCGCGAUCAGACGGAAAGACCCCAUGGAGCUUCACUGCAGCUUAAUAUUGAUAUUGGGUGUGUGAUGUACAGGAUAGGUGGGAGACGAAGAAGCGAGUACGCUAGUAUUCGUGGAGUCAACGUUGGGAUACCACCCUUCAUACAUUUAGUAUCUAACUAGUAUCCAUAAUCUGGGUAUAGAACAGUGUUAGGUGGGCAGUUUGACUGGGGCGGUCGCCUCCCAAAGAGUAACGGAGGCGCCCAAAGGUUCCCUCAGAAUGGUUGGAAAUCAUUCAAAGAGUGCAAAGGCAGAAGGGAGCUUGACUGCGAGACGGACAGGUCGAGCAGGAACGAAAGUUGGGCUUAGUGAACCGGCUGUGCUGAAUGGAAAGGCAGUCGAUCAACGGACAAAAGCUACCCUGGGGAUAACAGGCUGAUCUCCCCCAAGAGUUCACAUCGACGGGGAGGUUUGGCACCUCGAUGUCGGCUCGUCGCAUCCUGGGGCUGGAGAAGGUCCCAAGGGUUGGGCUGUUCGCCCAUUAAAGCGUCACGCGAGCUGGGUUCAGAACGUCGUGAGACAGUUCGGUCCCUAUCUGUCGUGGGCGUAGGAAAUUUGAAGGGAGUCGUCCCUAGUACGAGAGGACCAGGAUGAACGUACCGCUGGUGAAUCAGUUGGCCUGCCAGGGCCACAGCUGGGUAGCUACGUACGGACGGGAUAAACGCUGAAAGCAUCUAAGCGUGAAGCCCCCCCUGAGAUGAGAUUUCCCAUUAGAAAUAAGUAAGACCCCUUAGAGAUGAUGAGGUAGAUAGGUCAGAGAUGUAAGCACUGUGAGGUGUUGAGUUGACUGAUACUAAUAGGUCGAGGACUUAACCUU